AUAGACAGCAGUACGCAUGCGCGAGCCGGGUGACUGCAGUACUUACGCGCUAGAUUGAAGAUGGUACUAUGCAUGCGCGAAUUUCGAGAUGGCAGUAAGCAUGCGCGAUAUUAUGGACGGCAGUACGCUUGCGUGAGCCCCGAGACGGCAAUACGCAUGCGCGAGCCCCGAGACGGCAGUACGCAUGCGGGAGUCGUGAGACGGCAGUAUGCAUGCGCGAGUCACGUAGCUGUGCUACGCAUGCGCGAUAGCCUUGACAGCACUAGGCAUGAGCGAGCCUCGAGAUGGUAGUACGCAAGCGCGACAUGUGUGAGUGUAGUACGGCUGCGUGAACCGCGAGACGAAAGUACGCAUGCGCCAUCUUCGGGUACGUUCGGAGCCAAAAUAGUCAGUUUCCGUGGCAGGCCCGCGUGUCAAACCCCCCGAGCAAAAAGGCAACGAACACUCAACACCGCAAGAGAGAAAAGAAGCGCUGAGCCCGAGGACCAGGAAUUGACUGCCCGCCCGGCCCUCGGGGCUUAGGAGGAAUGGAUGCUAAUUUUAAGCUUCACGGCGCAUGCGUAGCACUGCCUGGAGGACUAAGUAUAAUAAAGAUCGAAGGAUGGGCUGCGCAAGACCGGACAAUACAUAAAUGAUUUCCGCGAGUCUGUGGGCAUGCGUUUUGCUGCCUCCGCCUCCUAACAAACACGGCUGCAAUUCCACCGAUUGGCCAUGUGGUGGCACCAGGGAGAGCCGAAACUAAUUCUUCGCAGUUCCCACACUUGGCCACGAGAGGGCACCAGUGACCGUGGAAACCAUGCCGAUGCAGUUCCGCUGACUGGCCAUGAGGGGGCACGAGAUACCACGGGAACAACUCCCCCGACCGGUUUGACCGGUUCGCCAGGGCCUGCGACGGGUAUCCGCUCGUCUCUUUCUUUCGAUAGCAGUGGAAAAAAAAAAAACACAGGAGAGGAAAGGGGGGGAGAAAGGGAGACGACUUAAAAAAAAACAAGGAAAACUUCGACUCACCCACCAAACUAGUCCUAAGUGCUUACCAUUACCUGCAAAUAAUUAAAUACAUAACCAGGAAA